CGUGUAGGCGGGCCGGCACGUCGACUGCUGAAAUCCCCCGGCUCAACCGGGGAAGUGGCAUCGAUACGACCGGCCUGGAGGGGGGUAGGGGGGACGGGAACUUCCGGUGGAGCGGUGAAAUGCGUUGAGAUCGGAAGGAACGCCCGCGGCGAAAGCGCGUCCCUGGACCCCACCUGACGCUGAGACGCGAAAGCCAGGGGAGCGAACG
rnacentral:rRNA from 1 species